rfam:Ipomoea nil DNA, scaffold: scaffold3084, cultivar: Tokyo-kokei standard.
GGAUGCGAUCAUACUAGCACUAAUGCACCGGAUCCCAUCAGAACUCCGAAGUUAAGCGUGUUUGGGCGAGGGUAGUACUAGGAUGGGUGACCCCCUGGGAAGUCCUCGUGUUGCAUCCC